rnacentral:rRNA from 1 species
UCAGAACGAACGCUGGCAGCGUGGAUUAGGCAUGCAAGUCGAACGGGAUCGGGAAGGUAGCAAUAUCGGCCCGUGAGAGUGGCGGAAGGGCGAGGAACACGUGAGCAACCUGUCCUUGAGGUGGGGAAAACCGUUGGAAACGACGGCUAAUACCGAAUGCGGCGCCCGGAGACAUCUCCGGCGCGCUAAAGGGGGCCGCAAGGCUCCCCCUCUUCGAGGGGCUCGCGCACCAUCAGCUUGUUGGCGGGGUAACGGCCCACAAGGCUCACGGUUAGCUGGUCUGAGAGGAUGGCCAGCCGCACUGGGACUGAGAUACUGCCCAGACUCCUACGGGAGGCUGCAGUCGAGGAUCAUUCGCAAUGGGGGAAACCCUGACGAUGCGACGCUGCGUGGAGGAUGAAGGCCCUCGGGUCGUAAACUCCUGUCAUGAGGGAAAAGGAGAGGGGACCCAACACGUCCCUUAUUUGAUGGUACCUCAAGAGGAACGGGCGGCUAACUCUGUGCCAGCCGCCGC